AGCAUUCCUGGCAUUGAGAGACACGAACAAAAGGGGAAAGAAAACAACAGCGUCUUCGUUAACUCUACCAUAGCGUUCUACCAAUUUUCGGGGCCACUCUCUUUUCCCCUUUUCCAUCUCUAAAUUUUGGGUGCGAUUUCCCUCAAAAUAUUUCAAUCUCUUCCAAUAUUUCAGUCAUUAGGUCGUCAAGAGGUCUGCAGCGUGAGUUCGGUUCAGAUGGGUUUAUCGACAGAUUUGCACUGGUCUUCCUCUCUAUUCACUUUGUAUCAGAUAUCAGUGUGAGUUCGAUUCUUCUGGGUUUCAAUCAAAGAAGCAAACCUGUUGCACCAAUUGAGGCAAAGAAUCAACGAACAGAGAAGCCCUAAACAGGUGAUUGUGGCAAUGGCGACAGUAGCGGCGGCUGCAAGUGUGGCUGUUGUUGUGUCCACAAUGGAGCUAAGAUGGAGGACAUACAGCCACGCCCAGGGAUGGAAUAGCUCCCAGGGGUCCAAUAUUGCAUCAAUAGUCCUCCUCUAUGACUGGAAGUCGUAGUUCUCAUGUUCCAGCAUUAUCUGAUGACCCUAGGUACAACUGUCUUGAUUCCAAGUAUGUUUGUAAACCAAAUGGGAGGCAGUAAUGUUGAGAUGGCCAAGGUGAUACAGACCUUACUAUUUGUUUUAGGACUAAAUACACUAAUGCAGUCCUUAUUUGGCACCCGACUUCCCUCAGUAAUCGGUGGUUCAUACGCAUUUGUUAUUCCCAUGACUUCCAUUCUACAUGCCGGAAGAUAUCACUUGUCAUCUCCGGAGCCCAAUGGAGAUUACUGCACAUAUCAUAAGUUUGAAAGGACAAUGAGAGGUAUGUAGGGUGCUCUCAUUAUUGCCUCUUGUUUCUAGAUGCUUAUCGGCUUCUUAGGAGUGUGGAGAAAUGUUGUAAGGUUUCUUACCCCUCUUUCUAUGGUUCCUCUCAUGACUUUUGCUGGACUUGGGCUAUACUAUCUUGGUUUUCAAAUGCUGGCAAAGUGUGUCGAAAUUGGGAUCCCCGAGCUAAUUCUAAUGGUUAUCGUCUCACAGGCAAGUAAUUGUUGUUUGUCAACUGCUCAAUGAUGCAUUUGAGAAAGUUUCUUGGUUUUUCGUGUAAAUGCAUCGCUCUGAAGCAAAGUAACUGUAUUAACUGACUUUCCAUAUGCAACUGAAAUUUGUGUGAUGAUUUGGCAAUAUCUUCCCCAUUAUGCAAAAGCAAAAACAAAGAGACGUGUAUGUGAUUGAUUUGCACUUCUGUUCUUUGUUGCAUUCGUAUGGGGCUAUGCGCAAAUUCUCACUUCAACUGGUGUAUAUCAUAACGCUUCUGCAGCCACUCAAGCUAGUUGUCGCAUUGAUCGCACUGGCCUCAUUACUGGAGCUCCUUGAUUUAUAUUCCUUAUCCAUUCCAAUGGGGGAGACCUACUUUUCAAGCUGGUGAAGCUUUCACAAUGACGGCUGCUUCUCUUGAGUCUACUGGCGCAUUCCUUGCAACAGCAAGAUAUGGGAGUGCUACACCUGUUCCAGCUUCUGUUUUAAAAGGGUAUAAGCAAGAUAAUCUUCAAGUAAAGAAAUCUAUAGCCCAGUACAUGAUUACAUUUUCAGGAAAGGGGAAUUACAUUAGUUUUUUUCAAUGAGUCUAAUUAGUCGGACUCUUUUAUGUUAUUUUUUUAUCGUCUCUUUUAUGUACUUUGGGAAAUUGUUUUCCAAGCUAAUGUAAUGAAUCUUUAUUCAAUGGUUAAGUUGUUUAUUGUA